rnacentral:misc_RNA from 1 species
UCCGGGGGUUUCCCGGCAGUCUCGCCAGAGAAGUACAACUGGCGACGGGGGUUGCGCUCGUUGCGAGACUUAACCCAACACCUCACGGCACGAGCUGACGACGGCCGUGCAACACCUGUGCACGCUCCCCGAAGGGUCCAUCAGCUUUCACAUCAGUACCACGUGCAUGUCAAACCCGGGUAAGGUUCUUCGCGUACCAUCGAAUUAAACCACACGCUCCGCUGCUUGUGCGGGCCCCCGUCAAUUCCUUUGAGUUUUAGCCUUGCGGCCGUAGUCCCCAGGCGGAGUACUUAUCGCGUUUGCUUCGGCACUGAGGGGGUCGAUACCCCCAACACCUAGUACUCAUCGUUUACGGCGUGGACUAC